rnacentral:lncRNA from 1 species
AGCGAGCAGUUUCUACUUCUGUAUACAGUUAUAUUUCAUGUAAUGUUCGUCUAUUAUUAAACCGUGUGAAUAUUCUAGGACCACUGCGAUUGAAGGCUUAGAGAAAUAAACGUUCGGAACCUUAUUAUCAUCCUUGUGUUAUGGAGAGCGUUGAGAGAAGGAAGCCUUACAAUCCUAUCCAGAGAAAUACCACUCGGUA